rnacentral:rRNA from 1 species
GACGGAGGGGGCUAGCGUUGUUCGGAAUUACUGGGCGUAAAGAGUGCGUAGGCGGUUUAGUAAGUUGGAAGUGAAAGCCCGAGGCUUAACCUCGGAACUGCUUUCAAAACUACUAAUCUAGAGUGUAGUAGGGGAUGAUGGAACUCCUAGUGUAGAGGUGAAAUUCUUAGAUAUUAGGAGGAACACCGGUGGCGAAGGCGGUCAUCUGGGCUACAACUGACGCUGAUGCACGAAAGCGUGGGGAGCAAACAGG